GCGUAGGUAACCUGCCUGGUAGCGGGGGAUAACUAUUGGAAACGAUAGCUAAUACCGCAUAAAAUUGAUUAUUGCAUGAUAGUCAAUUAAAAGGUGCAAUUGCAUCACUACCRGAUGGACCUGCGUUGUAUUAGCUAGUUGGUGGGGUAACGGCUCACCAAGGCAACGAUACAUAGCCGACCUGAGAGGGUGAUCGGCCACACUGGGACUGAGACACGGCCCAGACUCCUACGGGAGGCAGCAGUAGGGAAUCUUCGGCAAUGGACGGAAGUCUGACCGAGCAACGCCGCGUGAGUGAAGAAGGUUUUCGGAUCGUAAAGCUCUGUUGUAAGAGAAGAACGAGUGUGAGAGUGGAAAGUUCACACUGUGACGGUAUCUUACCAGAAAGGGACGGCUAACUACGUGCCAGCAGCCGCGGUAAUACGUAGGUCCCGAGCGUUGUCCGGAUUUAUUGGGCGUAAAGCGAGCGCAGGCGGUUAGAUAAGUCUGAAGUUAAAGGCUGUGGCUUAACCAUAGUACGCUUUGGAAACUGUUUAACUUGAGUGCAAGAGGGGAGAGUGGAAUUCCAUGUGUAGCGGUGAAAUGCGUAGAUAUAUGGAG
rnacentral:rRNA from 1 species